rnacentral:rRNA from 1 species
UACAUGUGGGGCAAGCGUUGUUCGGAAUUACUGGGCAUAAAGGGUGCGUAGGCGGCUUGUUAAGUCAGGGGUGAAAGUUUUCGGCCCAACCGGAAAAUUGCCUUUGAUACUGGCGAGCUUGAGUGCGUGAGGGGUAACCGGAACGAGUGGUGUAGCGGUGAAAUGCGUAGAUAUCACUCGGAAGCCAAAGGCGAAGGCAGGUUACUGGUACGCAACUGACGGCUGAGGCACGAAAGCGUGGGGAGCAAACAGGG